UACGUAGGGUGCAAGCGUUGUCCGGAAUUAUUGGGCGAAAGAGCUCGUAGGCGGUCUGUCGCGUCGGCUGUGAAAACCCGAGGCUCAACCUCGGGCCUGCAGUCGAUACGGGCAGACUAGAGUGCUGUAGGGGAGACUGGAAUUCCUGGUGUAGCGGUGAAAUGCGCAGAUAUCAGGAGGAACACCGGUGGCGAAGGCGGGUCUCUGGGCCGGAACUGACGCUGAGGAGCGAAAGCGUGGGGAGCGAACAGG
rnacentral:rRNA from 1 species